UACGGAGGGGGCUAGCGUUGUUCGGAAUUACUGGGCGUAAAGCGCACGUAGGCGGAACAGAAAGUCAGAGGUGAAAUCCCAGGGCUCAACCUUGGAACUGCCUUUGAAACUCCUGUUCUUGAGGUCGAGAGAGGUGAGUGGAAUUCCGAGUGUAGAGGUGAAAUUCGUAGAGAUUCGGUGGAACACCAGUGGCGAAGGCGGCUCACUGGCUCGAUACUGACGAUGAGGUGCGAAAGAGUGGGGAGCAAACAGG
rnacentral:rRNA from 1 species